UCGAGAAUCUUCCGCAAUGGACGCAAGUCUGACGGGGCGACGCCGCGUGCAGGAUGAAGGCCUUCGGGUUGUAAACUGCUGUUGCACCUUACGAACACCCAGGAGUUAACAGCUCUCUGGGAUGACCAGGGUGUGAGGAAGCACUGGCUAACUCCGUGCCAGCAGCCGCGGUAAUACGGAGAGUGCAAGCGUUACUCGGAAUCACUGGGCAUAAAGCGCGCGUAGGCGGGCUUUCAAGUCGGUUGUGAAAUCCCUCAGCUCAACUGAGGAACUGCAUCCGAUACUGUUUGUCUUGAGGACGAGAGGGGAGAGUGGAACUUCUGGUGGAGCGGUGAAAUGCGUAGAUAUCAGAAGGAACACCGGUGGCGAAAGCGACUCUCUGGCUCGUAUCUGACGCUGAGGCGCGAAAGCUUGGGUAGCAAACGGGAUUAGAUACCCCCGUAGUCC
rnacentral:rRNA from 1 species